rnacentral:rRNA from 1 species
AGUCGAGCGGAACGAUGGGAGCUUGCUCCCAGCGUCGAGCGGCGGACGGGUGAGUAACGCGUAGGAAUCUACCCAGUAGUGGGGGAUAGCCCGGGGAAACUCGGAUUAAUACCGCAUACGCCCUACGGGGGAAAGGCCGGGAUCUUCGGACCGGUCGCUAUUGGAUGAGCCUGCGUUGGAUUACCUAGUUGGUAGGGUAAAGGCCUACCAAGGCGACCAUCCAUAGCUGGUCUGAGAGGAUGAUCAUCCACACUGGAACUGAGACACGGUCCACACUCCUACGGGAGGCAGCAGUGGGGAAUAUUGGACAAUGGGCGCAAGCCUGAUCCAGCCAUGCCGCGUGUGUGAAGAAGGAUCUAGGGUUGUAAAGCACUUUCAGUAGGGAGGAAGGCCACAGUGUUAAUAGCGCUUUGGAUUGACGUUGCCUACAGAAGCAGCACCGGCUAACUCCGUGCCAGCCCCCGCGGUAAUACAGAGGGUGCAAGCGUUAUCCGGAAUUAUUGGGCGUAAAGCGCGCGGAAGCGGUUUGUUAAAUGUGAUGUGAAAGCCCAAGGCUCAACCUUGGAACUGCGUCACAUACUGGCAAGCUAGAGAACAGAACAGGGGGGGAGAAUUCCCUGUGUAGCGGGGAAAUGCGUACAGAUGUGGAAGAAAUACCAUGGGAAAAGGGGCCCCCCCCUUUGAUACUGACCCUAAAGUGCGAAAACCUGGGGGAGCAAAAAAGAUAAAAAACCCCGGGUAGUCCCCCCCGUAAAAAAUGUCAACCACCCCUGGGAAGG